AUAUGCCGUGAAUCCUCUUGAAAGAGAGGGGUGCCUUGGGGAACGCGGACACAGGUGGUGCAUGGCUGUCGUCAGCUCGUGCCGUAAGGUGUUGAGGUAAGUCCGGAACGAGCACAAUCCUCGUGUUUAGUUGCCAUCGUUGAGUUUGGAACCCUGAACAUCGCUUUGGGUCGCUUACCAAUGUCAGUAGAGGAAAAGUAGGUUGUUGCUAAGCCAAUCUCAACCCAUAA
rnacentral:ncRNA from 1 species